rnacentral:lncRNA from 8 species
AGGAGAGGAGAUGUGUCAGGUACGUUAGUUUAGAUAACGCUCUAGUUGUGACUGUCUCUUGUGUUUAUACAUGUUGUAGGAGAGGAGAUGUGUCAGGUACGUUAGUUUAGAUAACGCUCUAGUUGUGACUGUCUCUUGUGUUUAUACAUGUUGUAGGAGAGGAGAUGUGUCAGGUACGUUAGUUUAGAUAACGCUCUAGUUGUGACUGUCUCUUGUGUUUAUACAUGUUGUAGGAGAGGAGAUGUGUCAGGUACGUUAGUUUAGAUAACGCUCUAGUUGUGACUGUCUCUUGUGUUUAUACAUGUUGUAGGAGAGGAGAUGUGUCAGGUACGUUAGUUUAGAUAACGCUCUAGUUGUGACUGUCUCUUGUGUUUAUACAUGUUGUAGGAGAGGAGAUGUGUCAGGUACGUUAGUUUAGAUAACGCUCUAGUUGUGACUGUCUCUUGUGUUUAUACAUGUUGUAGGAGAGGAGAUGUGUCAGGUACGUUAGUUUAGAUAACGCUCUAGUUGUGACUGUCUCUUGUGUUUAUACAUGUUGUAGGAGAGGAGAUGUGUCAGGUACGUUAGUUUAGAUAACGCUCUAGUUGUGACUGUCUCUUGUGUUUAUACAUGUUGUAGGAGAGGAGAUGUGUCAGGUACGUUAGUUUAGAUAACGCUCUAGUUGUGACUGUCUCUUGUGUUUAUACAUGUUGUAGGAGAGGAGAUGUGUCAGGUACGUUAGUUUAGAUAACGCUCUAGUUGUGACUGUCUCUUGUGUUUAUACAUGUUGUAGGAGAGGAGAUGUGUCAGGUACGUUAGUUUAGAUAACGCUCUAGUUGUGACUGUCUCUUGUGUUUAUACAUGUUGUAGGAGAGGAGAUGUGUGAAUGAUAAAGAGAUCUGACCGUUCUUUGGUUGUGAUGUUUCCGUCCUGUUUCUUUCUUCACCAGACGAUGUGUUUCUCCCUAAAGACGUCGACCCAAAAGAAAUGGAUGAGAUUGAUCGUGAGGUGGAAUACUUCAAAAGGUUUUGCCUUGAUUCUGCUAAACAGACCCGUCAGAAGGUUGCAGUAAACUGGUCCAACUUUACCCUCAAAAAGGUUCCUUCCAACGCAGCCCAGUAAACUGACUGGUUCUCGAAUGCAGAACCUCCCCCCCCCCUUCAACAUAACUAUGUCCAUACAACCAUCGACGGCCUGAGGCCUUCUCUCUCAUUCCCACUCCUCUUCUUUUUCCUCACCAAGCCAAGGGACCCUGGUGCAACACCAUUUUUCCAUUCAGGACUGCGAUACUGUGUUGCUAUUGGCUGACAGCCAGGGGAUCAUUCACUCACACACACGGGCGACUGAGACUAGACUCUGCCGUUUCGCAACGAGGGAGAUGAGAUCCAGGCUGAAACAUGGAGAACUGUUUUAUCGGAUCUAAUCUACUGUGUACUUCACUAUGUAGUAUGGAAAACAGUUACCUUAUACAAUAAAAAGUGUUUUUAUUGCAAUUGUGGCACAUUUUAACAUUGUUGAAAACCUCUUGUAUUGUUAUUGGUUGGUUUUAUUCGAUGCUUCUGUUCUCUGAAGGUACUGACCCCACGACCCCACGAUCUGAGGUACCUUUAGUUUAGGGUAUCUCUCCCUCAACCCCCCCCCCCCCCC